GGAUAACCUACCCUUAGGACUGGGAUAACCCUGGGAAACUGGGGCUAAUACCGGAUAGGCAAUUUUUCCUGGAAUGGUUUUUUGUUUAAAUGUUUUUUCGCCUAAGGAUGGGUCUGCGGCCGAUUAGGUAGUUGGUUAGGUAAUGGCUUACCAAGCCGUUGAUCGGUACGGGUUGUGAGAGCAAGAGCCCGGAGAUGGAACCUGAGACAAGGUUCCAGGCCCUACGGGGUGCAGCAGGCGCGAAACCUCCGCAAUGUGAGAAAUCGCGACGGGGGGAUCCCAAGUGCCAUUCUUAACGGGAUGGCUUUUCAUUAGUGUAAAGAGCUUUUGGAAUAAGAGCUGGGCAAGACCGGUGCCAGCCGCCGCGGUAACACCGGCAGCUCUAGUGGUAGCAAUUUUUAUUGGGCCUAAAGCGUCCGUAGCCGGUUUAAUAAGUCUCUGGUGAAAUCCUGCAGCUUAACUGUGGGAAUUGCUGGAGAUACUAUUAGACUUGAGACCGGGAGAGGUUAGAGGUACUCCCAGGGUAGAGGUGAAAUUCUGUAAUCCUGGGAGGACCGCCUGUUGCGAAGGCGUCUAGCUGGAACGGUUCUGACGGUGAGGGACGAAAGUUAGGGGCGCGAACCGGAUUAGAUACCCGGGUAGUCCUAACUGUAAACGAUGCGGACUUGGUGUUGGGGUGGCUUUGAGCUGCUUCAGUGCCGAAGGGAAGCUGUUAAGUCCGCCGCCUGGGAAGUACGGUCGCAAGACUGAAACUU
rnacentral:rRNA from 1 species